CAGCCCUUGACAUGUCCUCUAUGGAUUCCAGAGACGGAGUCCUUCACUUCGGGUGGGAGGAACACAGGUGCUGCAUGGCUGUCGUCAGCUCGUGUCGUGAGAUGUUGGGUUAAGUCCCGCAACGAGCGCAACCCUCGCCCUUAGUUGCCAUCAUUUAGUUGGGCACUCUAAGGGGACUGCCGGUGAUAAGCCGGAGGAAGGUGGGGAUGACGUCAAGUCCUCAUGGCCCUUACGGGCUGGGCUACACACGUGCUACAAUGGCGGUGACAGAGGGAUGCAAAGGGGCGACCCUUCGCAAAUCUCAAAAAUCCGUCUCAGUUCGGAUUGGGGUCUGCAACUCGACCCCAUGAAGUUGGAAUCGCUAGUAAUCGCAGAUCAGCACGCUGCGGUGAAUACGUUCCCGGGCCUUGUACACACCGCCCGUCACACCAUGGGAGUUGGCUUUACCUGAAGACGGUGCGCUAACCGCAAGGAAGCAGCCGGCCACGGUAGGGUCAGCGACUGGGUG
rnacentral:rRNA from 1 species